rnacentral:rRNA from 1 species
GACGAACGCUGGCGGCGUGCUUAAAACAUGCAAGUCGAACGAAGUGGCGAACGGGUGAGUAACGGGUAAUCAACCUGCCCUUCAGAGGGGGACAACAGUUGGAAACGAAUACUACUGCCGCAUACUGAAGGAGGGGAUUGCGUCUGAUUCGCUAGUUGGAGGGUUACCGGCCCACCAGGGCGAUGAUCAGUAGCCGGUCUGAGAGGAUGACCGGCCACAUUGGGACUGAGACACGGCCCAGACUCCUACGGGAGGCAGCAGUGGGGAAUCUUCCGCAAUGGACGAAAGUCCGACGGAGCAACGCCGCGUGAGUGAUGACGGCCUUCGGGUUGUAAAGCUCUGUUAAUCGGGACGCGGUACCGGAAUAGAAAGCCACGGCUAACUACGUGCCAGCAGCCGCGGUAAUAC